UACGAAGGGGGCUAGCGUUGUUCGGAAUCACUGGGCGUAAAGCGCACGUAGGCGGAUUGUUAAGUCGGGGGUGAAAUCCUGGAGCUCAACUCCAGAACUGCCUUUGAUACUGAAGAUCUUGAGUUCGGGAGAGGUGAGUGGAACUGCGAGUGUAGAGGUGAAAUUCGUAGAUAUUCGCAAGAACACCAGUGGCGAAGGCGGCUCACUGGCCCGAUACUGACGCUGAGGCACGAAAGCGUGGGGAGCAAACAGG
rnacentral:rRNA from 1 species